GGGAUGAUUAUGUUGUUGAUAGUUUUUUGUCAGCAUUGGUGUUGAUAAAAUUUUGUUUUGGCAUGUUGAUGUGUUAUAUACUUCUAUUCUUUUAAUGACAGUUUAUAUUAUAAUUAUUUAAAAUGUCUUAUAAAUUUAAAUUAUUUUUGAAUAAUUUACUAUGUUAAAAACAAGAUUCAAACUUUUUGUGUGUACGUAUAUAACAAAUUGUUUGAAUCUUAUUUUUGGCACCAUAAAUUAUUUAUAAUAUUUUAAACAUUUGUGAGAAAUUCUAAUAAAUGAUUAUAAUAUACACAGUUAUAAGUAAUGAAACAAAAUUUUGUCAAUGCUGGUGUUGACAAAAUGACUGUCAGCACCAUAAUCGUCUCUUAUGUUAUAUAUAUUUGAUUAUUUAAUUGCUUGUUGGUCCUUGAAGAGUUGAUGAAUUACAUACAAUAAAGAUGUUUCUAGCCAGCAAAGUGGUACGUACUUUUAAUAUACACAAUUUAAAUAAUCUAUAUCUAUAUAUCUAAAUCUAAUAUAUGUUGAGGUGACAUUCUAAAAUUUCAACAUUCUAUAUUAUCUAAUUUUUCAUUUUUUUUUUCAAUUUUCCAGAUUUAACAUCCAACUGUAACGCAAUUUUCCUUUACUCAAUUCCAUUAUUUAAUUUUUAAGUUUUAUCCUAAUGUCACACAUAAAUAAAUACAAGAGAAAGUUAAAAAAAACGUGUAAAUAUAUAUUUAUAUAUAUAUAUAUAAAGUUUUUUCUUUCUUUCUCUUUUUUAUGAGUUCUACCGAAAUCUAUUCUUUCUCUACUAUCUGUAUGUGUUGGAAGGUGGAAUAUGAGGUGUAUGAUAAUAAUAAUAAGAUUUUAUCUCAAAAUAAUUUGGUGAUGAAUAAAGUACCCUAUACUGUAUUAUUGUGAAAUAUUUUCUCUGGCAGUGCGAGUGUGUUCUUUGGUAAUCUUCUUCUUCAUUUCUUGGAUUUAGAUUACAAUAUGAAUUUCUUCUUGGUGGUCCUUAGUGGUAUUGAUGGAUCAACAGACUUAAAGGAUGCUGGGCGGAGGCGGCGUUGAGGUGCUGAGAGCUCACAGUUUCGACCCAAACGAAUGAUGUUCAAUGGGACUCGCGCGCGGUUUCAAUGGCGUUGAGGGCUUGUGCGCGGCGUUGAGGGUGGCGGGAAUAAUGAGAUGGGGAGAAAGAGAAGUCAAGAAGAGCAGAAAAAAAUAAUGAACAUAAGAAAAAAGGAAUAAAUUCACACAAAUCUUAAGCUUUGAUGAGUUUCUGAGUUGUGUGGUGGCCAUGGGUGAUCUGAAAGAGAAAGAGAAAGAGAGAUCAAUGGAGUUUGAGGGAGAAUAGGACUUGCUAGUUUUGGUUGAUACGUGUUUUUUUGAUGGAAUUUAUGAGAAAUAUUUUUCAUUCACUUUUCUUUUCUUUUCUUUUCAUUUUUUCACUUCAAUUAAUGUGGACAGUGGGCAUCGACCCUUGUUUGUUUUGGUAAUCCAAUACUAAAAUCAUUAUUCUCAA